AAAUCGGGUUUUCCCCUUUCCCAAAAGCAAAAUCUUUCGCCUUUUACUAAAGUUUCCGGGGAGGGAACAACUCAAUGAUCUUACUCAAUUUUUUCUAUACCCCCCACUUCGGGGGGUU